AUACUUACCUGGUACAGAGGCUACCGUGAUCAGCCAGGCGGUGCCUCCAGGAAGAGACCCUUCCAUUGCACUUCGGUUGGGUUGAAGCCUGCGAUUACCCCUAAUGUGGGUAACUCGGGUACGCAAUUUAUUUGUGUGGGGGUCUGCGUUCGCGCUAACCCCUG